AUCAUUUGGGCAUCUUGUUAAAAUGCAGAUUCUGAUUUAGUAGGUCGGAGAUUCUGAGUUUCUAACAAGUUCCCAGAUGUUACUGG
rnacentral:pre_miRNA from 1 species